rnacentral:lncRNA from 1 species
GUUUUUGGUCUGACAUCACAGGUUUUCAAUGUUUGAUGACCAUGUCAUAACAAAAACAUUUCAUUUCUCAAGUGUAGCUUGAUUUCUGUUAUAUGACGCAGAUCACGUCAUAGAAUACAGAACACAUAUUUGUUAGAGAAGAUCACAUGUUAUGAUACAUAUGUUAUAGUUUAUGGCCUGAAUGGAAUUGGUAGUCACAUAGAUGUGUUUCAUAUAACAGUUAUCAAACAUCUACAGAAUUCAAAUGGAGGUCAAAGCUACUUAUCAAAACUGACUACAAAAUUCAUUAUGAGGUCAUAUGUGAUUGUGAAAUCAGUGAAUAAUUAAUACACAACUGUGCAGAUGUCGAAACUCAAUUGUACUUGAAAACACAAUGGUCAUAGGUAAUUUUUGUUGUGAUAUUUCAAUGAAUGCUUAAAAUAAAAGAAUAUGAUAUAUCUAUGAUCUAUCUAUAUCAUCUAUUGAUUUGCUACUAUUAGUGGUUUUACUUUAUCUGUCACGCUAGUUUAAUGGAACCAAAUUGGAGCGUCUCCAACGCUUGUGAUCAUGUCAUCCACAACGCCUACAUCUCACUGUUGGUUUCCCUUAUUUGGAUGAUCUCUUCCUCUUCUCAGUAGGUCUUCUGGAACUACUCUUUUGGUUAAGAGCUAACACAAUUUUGGAUUAUACUUCUAUAGGUACUGUCCAUUCGUUCGGAUUUCCAACAUGAUAUAUAGAAUUUUGGUAGCAUUCAUAUAUGCAUCUCUUGUUUAAUAAUAAGAAUAGUAAGCAUUUUGAUUCCUCUUUGUAUUUACAAUUACAGUCAAGGCUUGUGGACACAGUAACAAAUCAACUUAUAGAAUCUUACAUGUACAUGUACACUGACAGAAAACACUGACUAGUUGGAAGGAGAUACCUGUGAGAAUGUAAUAACAAUUAUAGUAUCAUGUCAAAGUUAUGAUGGAUAUGUCAUAUAUAUAUAUAUAUAUAUAUAUAUAUAUAUAUAUAUAUAGUCACAUAUUUAUAAUUCAAGUCACAUGCAUUUAUAUUCAAGAGACAUACACUUAGGUCCAGGUAACACAUGCAACUGACGCAUACAAAUAAGUUCUAUCACAAACAUACAGUUCAAGUCACAUGCAUUUAUGGUGAGUCACAUACAUAAAUUUUAGUGUCAGAGUAAUAACAUUACCCUCAAGUGCCUCAAAUCUACACUCGUUUUCCUUAUCUCUUUCUCAUGCAUGCUUGAAAAUUUUGUGAAAGUGUCAUGCACGUCAUCUCUAUGUUUACAAAAUCAAGAUUGUAUGAUUUACUGCAAUGACUCUAGCAAAAAUACAAUAGGGUAAUUCUUGGCUGCUUUUGUGACUGCAUUAACCAAUUCUACGAUUUUCGAAUUCAUUGUAGAGUAUCUGAAUGCUGACAUAUGGACUCGUUACCACUUUUCGAGCUCAACAUCUGCUUACAAACAUAUAUCAUAUCGACGAGUAUCAUAUAAAUGACAUCUGUGACCAUUUUAUGUAUGUGAAAAUGUAAUCAGAUGUAGUAUACUACCAGGUAACUAGUAAUCUUCUCAUUCAUUGUGUCCAGUCUUCGUGUGUUAUAUUCAAAUUCUUCCAAUGUAUAAGCGCCGACAGCCAAAUUGAAUGCUUGUGUAAUAUUUUGACAUGAUUUCCC